rnacentral:lncRNA from 1 species
GAGAAAUCAAAGGAGGGUGAAGCAUGGAGGAGAGAGAAACAAAACCAGUAUUAUCUAAAGAACAACGUCUCCCACAGAGCUUCACAUAUUUUCAGUAAUUCUGCAGUAAUCUUGCAAGGGUGGAUUUGUGGCACUGCAGUCAGCAUUCACCAUACAGCAAGAGAUGACGGACACUGGCUUGGACCUCUAAAGCAUGGCUGAGCACAAGAGGAAUCCACACCUCCAGUCUGCAGUUUGACAAGUGAUAUUCUGAAAACACUUAUGCACAUUUCAUCA